AUUUAGGUUACCAUUUGCUCCCCCUUUCGUUUUAUCUCUCAUGCUUUGAAGGUAUUCUACACCAGAAGCUAGGAUAAAAUCUUCUUGAUCUAGGGUUCGACACAGAACUUCGUGUGAAUAUGGGCGUCAGUAUUCUCACUGGUUCCGGCAUUGUUGCCUAGCGUCACGCUCCGUUGAUUGUUGCGAGAAAGGUGUUCGUGAUCGUUGCAUUGUUCAACAAUCCAAACCUCUGAAUCAGGAUCUGGGUGUUCUUCUCUUGGAGUGGGUGCAUUCUCUGAAAAUGGACCUUUUAGACCAAAUGGGAAAGUUCGAUUCCUUGAUUGAAUGUGCGUUUUCUCUGUGGCGAAAGGUUUUCAUUUGUUUUGGUUAUUAGGUUUAUUUGGGAGAAGGGUAUUAUGCAGAGAGAACUUCGAAGCAAACUGUUGAGAUUUUGCAGUGAAGAGGGAAGCUUGGAUGCGGAGGUUGAUUCCCUUGAGGCUAAUAUCAAGGACCUUGAAGCAGAGGCUUCGUUUUUCAAUGCCACAGCUUCUCAAGUAGCGGUCCUAGAUGUGUUUUUUCGUGUGCCAAAGGUGGAAGGCCUUUGUCUAAGCAAGGCUUCACUUGUUGCGUUGCCAUAGGAGAUUAAGGACUUUUGUUCUUUCCAGGGUUAUCCUCCCCUCUCUUUUAGAUGUUUUUGGUUAAAUUAAGGACUUGUUUGUUCUUUCCAGGGUUAUCCUCCCCUCUCUUUUAGAUGUUUUUGGUUAAUCUUUUGGUUUCUGAACUCUGAUCAUUUAGCUUUGGUUGCUUAAAUAAAUGUAAUAUGUAUCGGCUAA